rnacentral:rRNA from 1 species
GAUGAACGCUAGCGGCAGGCUUAACACAUGCAAGUCGAGGGGCAGCACGGGUAGCAAUACCUGGUGGCGACCGGCGCAAGGGUGCGUAACGCGUGAGCAACAUGCCCUAUACAGGGGGAUAAUCCAGGGAAACUUGGUCUAAUAUCCCAUAGUAUUUAGAGGAGGCAUCUUCUAUAAAUUAAAGCUUCGGUGGUAUAGGAUUGGCUCGCGUGACAUUAGCUAGAUGGUGAGGUAACGGCUCACCAUGGCAAUGAUGUCUAGGGGUUCUGAGAGGAAGGCCCCCACACUGGGACUGAGACACGGCCCAGACUCCUACGGGAGGCAGCAGUGAGGAAUAUUGGACAAUGGAUGGAAAUCUGAUCCAGCCAUGCCGCGUGCAGGAAGACAGCCCUAUGGGUUGUAAACUGCUUUUAAUGGGAGCAAUAGGUCUACGUGUAGACUGAUGAGAGUACCAUAUGAAUAAGC